rnacentral:lncRNA from 1 species
UGGGAACUAGGUGCUAUGUUCCUCGACCGCUCCGGUGAGUUCUCUCCUCUCCUUCGACUCUUUUCCCACCUCCAAUUCUACUAUUUUUGCCUUUAUUAAGGGAGGAUUUUUGCCUUAAUUCAGUGAUAGUCUUCACGCUGUCGACUACGAUGCGGCUGUCUACAAGUCCCAUUGGAGGAAAUCUAGUGGAGGGCGAGGCCAGUGAUGUGGGCUAGGCAAGAUGUGGGAGAGCAGGGGAGGGCAAGGGUGAGGAGGGUAGAGUGGCACAAAUGAGGAUAGGGAUGAGAGGUAAGUCAAAGUAGUAAUUCUGGACACCAUCGUGGUCCUUGCGUCAGAGAUAGAAGAAAAGGAACUCUUGAAUGAAGGGCGAGAGCCAGAGGAGAUCAAGGAGAUUAAGG